CCUACGGGAGGCUGCAGUAGGGAAUAUUGCUCAAUGGGGGAAACCCUGAAGCAGCAACGCCGCGUGGAGGAUGAAGGUUUUCGGAUUGUAAACUCCUUUUGUUAGAGAAGAUAAUGACGGUAUCUAACGAAUAAGCACCGGCCAACUCCGUGCCAGCAGCCGCGGUAAUACGGAGGGUGCAAGCGUUACUCGGAAUCACUGGGCGGAAAGAGCGCGUAGGCGGGAUGGCAAGUCAGAUGUGAAAUCCUAUGGCUUAACCAUAGAACUGCAUUUGAAACUGUUAUUCUAGAGUAUGGGAGAGGUAGGUGGAAUUCUUGGUGUAGGGGUAAAAUCCGUAGAGAUCAAGAGGAAUACUCAUUGCGAAGGCGACCUGCUAGAACAUAACUGACGCUGAUGCGCGAAAGCGUGGGGAGCAAACAGGAUUAGAUACCCCAGUAGUC
rnacentral:rRNA from 1 species